rnacentral:rRNA from 2 species
AAUUGAGGGGGGCUGCUCCUAGUACGAGAGGACCGGAGUGGACGCAUCACUGGUGUUCGGGUUGUCAUGCCAAUGGCACUGCCCGGUAGCUAAAUGCGGAAAAGAUAAGUGCUGAAAGCAUCUAAGCACGAAACUUGCCCCGAGAUGAGUUCUCCCUGAGACUUUGAGUCUCCUGAAGGAACGUUAAAGACGAUGACGUUGAUAGGCCGGGUGUGUAAGCGCAGCGAUGCGUUGAGCUAACCGGUACUAAUGAACCGUGAGGCUUAACCUU